AUUGAACGCUGGCGGCAGGCCUAACACAUGCAAGUCGAACGAGUGGCGGAAGGGUGGGUAAUGUAUGGGAAACUGCAUGCUGGGGGGGAAGAACUACUGGAAAAGGUAGCUAAUACCGCAUACACUCAGAUGUGCCCAGAUGGGAUUAGCUUGUUGGUGGGGUAACGGCUCACCAAGGCGACGAUCCCUAGCUGGUCUGAGAGGAUGACCAGCCACCCUGGAACUGAUACACGGCCCAGACUCCUACGGGAGGCAGCAGUAGGGAAUCGUCGGCAAUGGACGAAAGUCGGACCGAGCAACGCCGCGUGUAUGAAGAAGGCCUUCGGUUUGUAAAGUACUUUCAGCGGGGAGGCGUUACCCGCAGAAGAAGCACCGGCUAACUCCGUGCCAGCAGCCGCGGUAAUUC
rnacentral:rRNA from 1 species